ACUUCAGUGGCAUGUAUACUAAAAACCUGGAACCAUAUGGAGAAAAUUAGUAUGGCCCCUGCAUAAGGAUGACACACAAAUAUGUGAAACAUUCCAUAUUUUU